rnacentral:rRNA from 2 species
UUUCAUGAGAGUUUGAUCCUGGCUCAGGACGAACGCUGGCGGCGUGCCUAAUACAUGCA